rnacentral:tRNA from 1 species
GCCACUUUCGUAUAAUGACAUUAUAGGGGUUUUGUACACCUCGGAUGGGGGUUUGAUUCCUCCAAGUGGCUCCA